CGCCCGCGCAUGACGUCACCGAAACUUAAGUAGUGGACAGCAAGCCUCCACAAGCUUUCUAGCCGCGCGUUGUUUUGGUCCGAGUGCACGUUUCAAACCUACAAAAAUGGGGAAUUUUUGCUGUAUUAUUGUCUGCGGUCAUCGCAACAACCGAGACGAAAGUGAAAACCAGAAAAUCCCAAUGUCUUCACAAAUUCUCACUGGAUGCUAAUCAACUUGGGUCACAACAAGGGCAAAAAGAUAAAACCAGAAGAAUUUCAACUCCCCAAACACAGGAACAAAAGAAAUUAUAUGGUAGAUGCCUUGGACAAUUUACAGGAGAUGGAGACUGAGAAGCAGAAUGAAGUGCAAUAUGAUGAGAAAGAGACACAGACAUGAUGGUGGAUUAUUUAAGUAAACUAGAUGAUGUUUUAACUCCAUCUAGAGACCACCGGGUAACCUGCCGGUUCCAAGCCCGGAUGAAGGAGGAGGGUUGGGCAUGGGGCUAGCAACCCCAUCCUGUAAAGAAAACUGCUGCAGAAACUGCAAAAAUAUUAACUGCACAACAAGAGCCUGGACGGGAAGAUCCCUCUUCAGAAGGGCCUAUGAUGCGUGCUGGCGAAAGCCCUCGGGAAGCCAGCUGAUCAACCCAUCUUCUCAAGGCCAAGAAAAAAACCAGGAUAGGGACCUGGAACAUCAGAACCCUGUACGAGAGAGGUAAAUCAGCUCAGGUAGUCCAGGAAAUGAAGAACAUCAAGCUCCUCGGCCUGAGAGGACCAACCAAAAACCUGCCACCCAAGACAUCAAGAAGUGGAAGUGAGGCUGUAUCGGUCACACCUUGCAAAAGCCGGCCAACAAUUUAACAAGACAAGCUCUGGGUUGGAACCCACAGGGGAGGUGCAGGGUUGGGAGACCCAGACAGACAUAAAGGAGAUCAGUCCACAGAGAGGCGGGGACAGCUGGCAUGGCAUGGUCCUAACUGGAAAGGGAUGCCCAGAAUCAUGUCCAAUGGUGGGGUGUGGUUCCGGCCCUAUGCUCCACCGGGGCCAACUAGGAUCAAGAGAGAGAGAUGAUAUUGUCAACCAGUAUACAGCAGGAAAAUGCUACAGUGAAAAAGAAAAUUGACGAAAAAGAUAUACACACCAAAAUUAUUAUCAACAAAAUGCGGACAGAGUUAGGUUCUAUACAAGGUUUCCAAAUAUGGUUGUGCUCUUAGCUUUGGUCAACAUAGUUAAAAAAGACUUGAAAAACAAUUUGCAGUCAAAGUUUCAGUAGGUUGUUUUAACUUUAAUGAGAUUGCAUCUGAAUUUAGCUUUUGAUUUGUUAUCAGAAUUGUUUUUUGUUUCCCAGUGUACAGCAGCCAGAAUAUUUUACGCUAUUCUUAAUGUUUAUAUUUGCAUUUACACCAUUUAGUGUUUUUGGCCUGACAGAGAAAACAUAAGGAAAAACAAUGCCACUCAGCUUUCUAGAAAAUUUUAAAAGAAAGGUGACUAUAAUCACUGAUUGCUUUAAGAUGAGAUUAGAAGAAUCAUCAAAUCUUCAAGCAUAAAACCAGACAUUUUCUAACUACAGAUGUGGAAACACUAUGAAAUUUCACAUUAGUAUUGCACCACAGUGCAUGAUCACUUUCAUUUCCAAGGCACGUGGAGGCAAGACCAGUGACAGACAUAGAACAGAAUAGUUUUUUAAUAUAAUUUGCAUGUUGGUGACCUUGUUUGGGCAGAUGGUUUAAUAGUCAUGAAAGUGGUCUGCAGAAGUUAAAACCCCAGCCUUUACAAGGAUCAAAAAACAACUGCAUUUGGAGUGGAAUCAAAGAUCAAAGCCAAUGGAAUCUAAGCUAAUGUUUGUAUUGGAGUCCACAUUAUCAUUAGUAAGUCUUGAUGAAAAUAAUAUGCCAGCUUUAGACAAGGUGGUGUUUGUCUGCUGUGAUCUAGUUAAUUUGUGUCGUUCUGUUGUUUUGUCUGAUGAAGAAGCCAAGGUCAAAGUAACUGUUUUUAGUAAUGUCGAAAGAGAAUUAAGCACAGGUGGGGGAGACUCCAAAUAAUUAAGGAUAAUUUGCAUUUUGAAAUGUCAAGUGCCCUGUGACAAUUUGAUAUUAACUUACAUUGAUGAUAC